AGCAGCCGCGGUAAUUCCAGCUCCAAUAGCGUAUAUUAAAGUUGUUGCAGUUAAAAAGCUCGUAGUUGAAUUUCGGGGUUAGUAGGUUGGUCAUGCCUCUGGUAUGUACUGGUCUCACUGAUUCCUCCUUCCUGAUGAGCCGUAAUGCCAUUAAUUUGGUGUUGCGGGGAAUUUGGACUGUUACUUUGAAAAAGUUAGAGUGUUUAAAGCAAGCUAACGCUUGAAUACAUUAGCAUGGAAUAAUGAAAUAGGACGUUCGAUCCUAUUUUGUUGGUUUCUAGGAUUGACGUAAUGAUUAAUAGGGAUAGUUGGGGGCAUUAGUAUUCAAUUGUCAGAGGUGAAAUUCUUGGAUUUAUUGAAGACUAACUACUGCGAAAGCAUUUGCCAAGGAUGUUUUCAUUAAUCAAGAACGAAAGUUAGGGGAUCGAAGACGAUCAGAUACCGUCGUAGUCUUAACCAUAAACUAUGCCGACUAGGGAUCGGAUGAUGUUAAUUUUUAAUGACUCAUUCGGCGCCUUAA
rnacentral:misc_RNA from 1 species